CAGGUGUUAAAAGACCUGUUGUUUACAAUUACCCUGAAAAGGAAUCAUACUUAUCUUCUCUCCUUUGCUGAUUUUGCCCACCAUUGAACAUCUAAAAUUGAACACAGAGCCCAGCAAUUAAAGUGUGCCAGAUUAAACAAGUAGGCCAGGAUGGAGUAAUAGGGACUAAAUAUGUACUCUCACCUG